UCAUCUACGCAGAGGUUUCUGCAGAAUCCCUUCCAGUUCUUGGAAGCCGCUGUGUUUCUUCGCUCAUCUGAAGCGUCGUUUUCUGUAAUAAAUUGCAAACUCAGUUCAUUAUUUAUUCUCUCGUAUUCAGCUACGGACUAUAGCAACAACACUAGGUGACUGUUAACGCCAGAUGUGCGCUAUCAAAUCCGGACACCAUCAAAAUCAUCGACCACUGGAGGCACUGAAACUUUACAGAGAAAAAAACGGUUUGAACUGAGACUUGGCUAACGUCUCGAGACUCCACAGAGCUUCAGUGAGAACAUGUGAACUCGCCCUCGUGAAUGUUUCACGGGAUUCUGAUCCUCUCGUCCGCUCCUUUCACGUCGAAGCUCAUUUGAAUCAACAUCACGCGUUUGUCAACAUCUCGGUGUACGUUUGGGGAUUUUUGUCGCGCUCACCGAAUUUCUUUCAAAUACUCGAAGGAUUUAAUGGACCACGAAGAUACACGCAGACCAAACAUCGUUCUGUCUUAACUAAAAACCGAGCGAGGAGGACAGUUAGGAUAUGACUGACACAGGUGAAGCUGCUCCUCACAGCAGACCUCGGAGGCUCUUCCUUUCCUUCACCACCCACCCCUCGAGUUCUACUCCUGUAGAUGGCAGUGCAAAUCAAAUAUUAACGCUCAAUUUGACGAGUCGUCGUGAUAAGUUCCUGUCAGGUCGCUUGUAAAGCGGACCAUCACUGUGGACUAAUAUGCAAAAUGACUCUUUCUGGAACGUAGAGAACCGCAAUUAUGUAACUGUAUUCUUCAGGUCACUCUCAACGAAAUUAUUUAAUCUAUAGGUCACUUUGAAAGCAUGGGGUUAUAGUAGUUUUCACUUGCACAGGCAUGUUGGUGGUUAUUUUUGAGCUUCUAUUAAAUGACUAAUGAAAGGUGGA